GGAGGGAUGUCAGAGUGGUCUAUAGUGCACGACUCGAAAUCGUGUGUCCCAAAAGGACCGUGGGUUCAAAUCCCACUCCCUCCG
rnacentral:tRNA from 1 species